rnacentral:rRNA from 1 species
AGUGAACGCUGGCGGUAGGCCUAACACAUGCAAGUCGAACGGCAGCACAGUAAGAGCUUGCUCUUACGGGUGGCGAGUGGCGGACGGGUGAGGAAUACAUCGGAAUCUACUUUUUCGUGGGGGAUAACGUAGGGAAACUUACGCUAAUACCGCAUACGACCUACGGGUGAAAGCAGGGGAUCUUCGGACCUUGCGCGAUUGAAUGAGCCGAUGUCGGAUUAGCUAGUUGGCGGGGUAAAGGCCCACCAAGGCGACGAUCCGUAGCUGGUCUGAGAGGAUGAUCAGCCACACUGGAACUGAGACACGGGCCAGACUCCUACGGGAGGCAGCAGUGGGGAAUAUUGGACAAUGGGCGGAAGCCUGAUCCAGCCAUACCGCGUGGGUGAAGAAGGCCUUCGGGUUGGAAAGCCCUUUUGUUGGGAAAGAAAAGCAGCAGGUUAAUACCCCGCUGUUCUGACGGUACCCAAAGAAUAAGCACCGGCUAACUUCGUG